AACGAACGCUGGCGGCAGGCCUAACACAUGCAAGUCGAGCGAGGACUUCGGUUCUAGCGGCGGACGGGUGAGUAACGCGUGGGAAUGUGCCCUUCUCUACGGAAUAGCCCUGGGAAACUGGGAGUAAUACCGUAUACGCCCUAUUGGGGAAAGAUUUAUCGGAGAAGGAUCAGCCCGCGUUGGAUUAGGUAGUUGGUGGGGUAAUGGCCUACCAAGCCGACGAUCCAUAGCUGGUUUGAGAGGAUGAUCAGCCACACUGGGACUGAGACACGGCCCAGACUCCUACGGGAGGCAGCAGUGGGGAAUCUUAGACUAUGGGGGCAACCCCGAUCUAGCCAUGCCGCGUGAGUGAUGAAGGCCUUAGGGUUGUAAAGCUCUUUCAGCUGGGAAGAUAAUGACGGUACCAGCAGAAGAAGCCCCGGCUAACUCCGUG
rnacentral:rRNA from 1 species